rnacentral:rRNA from 1 species
AUGGAACACGUGGUCCUGCCCCGGCGUGUCCACCAGCUCGGCCUCGCCGCGCCACCCGCUCGCGAGCAGCGCCGCGUAGUACGCCCGCCCCUUCACCGCCAGGAAGUCGUCGCCCGCCACGGCCAGCAUCGCCCUCUUGCACGGCAGCGCCGCGAGCAGCGGCGCCGCCUCGGCGCACGUCGGGCAGAACCUCGGGUCGUCGACCUCGGCGUCGGGGCGCGCGCACAUGAACCGCCACUCGCGGCGGAUCCUGACCUCCAGAGCGGGCGUCAUGGCGUUGGUCGGGUCCCAGAAGUAGGGGUGCACCAGCAGCACGCCGACGAUGGCCGCGCACGGGCGCGGGAGCCCCUCGGCGGCGGCGCGCAGGGCGACGUUGUGCGCGAUGUUGGCGCCCGCGCUGUCGCCGGCGAGGAACACGCGGGACGCGUCCCCGUGCGCCGCGAGCCACGGCUCGGGGCAUCCCGGGGCGGUGCCGGCGACCGCCCACGCGAGGGCCGCCCAGGAGUCGUCGUAGGCCGCGGGGAGCGGGUGCUCCGGCACGCGGCGGUACUCCACGGACACCGCGAGGACGCCCGCGUGGGCGGCGAGCGCGUUCAGGUAGCGGUGGUACGUCGGGGAGGCCGCCGUCUCGACCAUGAACCCGCCGCCGUGGAAGUACACGAGGACGGGCAGCUUCUUGCCUUCGCCCCCGGAUGCCGCAGCCGCUGGCGGAAGGUAGAGGCGGACGGAGACGCCGGUGGCCGGGUCGAUGACGACGUCCUUGGACGCCACGCCCGUGGGCGCGUCGAAGGACGCCGGCACGGUGUCGGUGCCGAGCAGGCGCUCGACGCGGCCGCUCUUGUACACGCGGAUGAACGGGAGCAGCUCGGUCUCAACCACGUCGGCGGCGGCGCUGGAAGCCAUUCCGGCGGCGGGCGCGCUCUGCGAGGUCGAGCUUGUGACCUGGAGCGCGGUGCUGGCGCAGGACAAGUGAAGCAGAACAAGCAGGGGACGUGCCAUUUUAAACCGAACAAUUUCGAUAUUUUGUAUUCGAGCUGGUAG